rnacentral:rRNA from 1 species
AGUGAACGCUGGCGGCGUGCCUAAUACAUGCAAGUCGAACGGAGUAUUAAGAGAGCUUGCUCUUUUAAUACUUAGUGGCGCACGGGUGAGUAAUGUAUAGUUAAUCUGCCCUACACUGGAGGACAACAGUUAGAAAUGACUGCUAAUACUCCAUACUCCUUCUUAACAUAAGUUAAGUCGGGAAAGUUUUUCGGUGUAGGAUGAGACUAUAUUGUAUCAGCUAGUUGGUAAGGUAAUGGCUUACCAAGGCUUUGACGC